UACAGAGGGGGCAAGCGUUGUUCGGAAUUACUGGGAGUAAAGGGCGCGUAGGCGGCCUUCUAAGUCGGACGUGAAAUCCCCGGGCUCAACCCGGGAACUGCGUCCGAUACUGGAAGGCUUGAAUCCGGGAGAGGGAUGUGGAAUUCCAGGUGUAGCGGUGAAAUGCGUAGAUAUCUGGAGGAACACCGGUGGCGAAGGCGACACCCUGGACCGGUAUUGACGCUGAGGCGCGAAAGCCAGGGGAGCAAACGGG
rnacentral:rRNA from 1 species